GCCGGGUGUGGUUGUGCACACCUGUGGUCCCAGCUACUCUGGAGGUUGAGGAGAGAGGAUCGCUUGAGCCCAGGAUAUUGAGGCUGCAGUGAACUAUGAUCAUGCCACUGCACUCCAGCCUGGGCAACAGAGUGACACCUUGUCUCUA
ensembl:misc_RNA Metazoa_SRP Metazoan signal recognition particle RNA